rnacentral:rRNA from 1 species
AACUUAACAAUAACCUUUUUUGCAUCUAGCAUUACCUGUUCUGAUACAAACAAUCGUUACAACUUUCAACAAUGGAUCUCUUGGCUCUGGCAUCGAUGAAGAACGCAGCGAAAUGCGAUAAGUAGUGUGAAUUGCAGAAUUCAGUGAAUCAUCGAAUCUUUGAACGCACAUUGCGCCCCUUGGUAUUCCAUGGGGCAUGCCUGUUCGAGCGUCAUCUACACCCUCAAGCUCUGCUUGGUGUUGGGCGUCUGUCCCGCCUUUGCGCGUGGACUCGCCCCAAAUUCAUUG